UACAGAGGGUGCAAGCAUUAUCCGGAUUUAUUGGGCGUAAAGCGUUUCGUAGGCUUUUGGGUAAGUUAUUUUUCAAAGACCGCGGCUCAACCGCGGAAAGGGAGGUAAUACUGCCCGGAUAUGAAGUAUGGUGAGGUUUCUGGAACUGACGGUGUAGGAGUGAAAUCCGUUGAUAUCGUCAGGAACUCCAAGGGCGAAGGCAGGAAACUAACCAUAUCUUGACGCUGAGGAACGACAGCUAGGGGAGCGAAUGGG
rnacentral:rRNA from 1 species